rnacentral:rRNA from 1 species
UGGGGAAUUUUGGGAUCAAUGGGCGAAAGCCUGAUCCAGCAAUGCCGCGUGUGUGAAGAAGGCCUUCGGGUUGUAAAGCACUUUUGUCCGGAAAGAAAUCCUUGGCUCUAAUACAGUCGGGGGAUGACGGUACCGGAAGAAUAAGCACCGGCUAACUACGUGCCAGCAGCCGCGGUAAUACGUAGGGUGCAAGCGUUAAUCGGAAUUACUGGGCGUAAAGCGUGCGCAGGCGGUUUGCUAAGACCGAUGUGAAAUCCCCGGGCUCAACCUGGGAACUGCAUUGGUGACUGGCAGGCUAGAGUAUGGCAGAGGGGGGUAGAACUCCACGUGUAGCAGUGAAAUGCGUAGAGAUGUGGAGGAAUACCGAUGGCGAAGGCAGCCCCCUGGGCCAAGUACUGACGCUCAUGCACGAAAGCGUGGGGAGCAAACAGGAUUAGAUACCCCUGGUAGUCCACGCCCCUAAACGAUGUCAACUAGUUUGUUGGGGGAUUCAUUUUCCUUAGUAACGUAGCUAACGCGUGAAGUUGACCGCCUGGGGAGUACGGUCGCAAGAUUAAAAC